GCAAAUUCUAUGGCGUAUACAAAAGUACACUUUAUCAUAAUGCUUUUUUCAUGUUCGAGUGCUAUGUACUGCAAGGAAAAAAACCUGGGUUACAAAUGCUGUGCAAACUACUACUGGAAUUUUACAAAAGGAAACUGUUCUGAAUGUAUGCCAGGAACCUUUGGCCUUAACUGUUCUGAUGAAUGUACAGCUGGCUAUUAUGGACUGUGGUGCUUGAGCAAAUGCCCCGAAUACUGCAAAUCAUGUAAUAAAGUCAACGGAGCUU